rnacentral:rRNA from 1 species
UACGGGGGGAGCAAGCGUUGUUCGGAUUUACUGGGCGUAAAGGGCGCGUAGGCGGCGCGACAAGUCACUUGUGAAAUCUCCGGGCUUAACUCGGAGCGGCCAAGUGAUACUGUCGUGCUAGAGUGCGGAAGGGGCAACUGGAAUUCUCGGUGUAGCGGUGAAAUGCGUAGAUAUCGAGAGGAACACCUGCGGCGAAGGCGGGUUGCUGGGCCGACACUGACGCUGAAGCGCGAAAGCUAGGGGAGCGAACGGG